rnacentral:rRNA from 1 species
AUUGAACGCUAGCGGGAUGCUUUACACAUGCAAGUCGAACGAGUGGCGGACGGGUGAGUAAUAUAUCGGAACGUGCCCAGUAGCGGGGUAUAACUACUCGAAAGAGUGGCUAAUACCGCAUAAUAGUGGAGCGGCCGAUAUCGGAUUGGCUAGUUGGUGGGGAAAAGGAUCACCAAGGCAACGAUCCGUAGCUGGUUUUGAAGGCAGACCAGCCUCACUGGGACGUAGACACGGCCCAGACUCCUACGGGAGGCAGCAGUUGGGAAUUUUGGACAAUGGGGGAAACCCUGAUCCAGCCAUCCCGCGUGUAUGAGAAGGCCUUCGGGUUGUAAAGGACUUUUGGCAGAGAAGCGGUAUCUGCAGAAUAAGCCCCGGCUAACUACGUGCCAGCAGCCGCGGUAAUAC